rnacentral:RNase_P_RNA from 1 species
GAAGCGCGCCAGACGGUCGCUGCAUGCUAGACAUGCAGAGGAAAGUCCGGACUCCAUAGGGCAGGGUAGUGGGUAACCCCCAUCCACCGCGAGGUGAGGAUUAGAGCAACAGAGACGAGUCGUUGCCGACCGCGGAGGCCGCAAGGCCGACGUUGCCGGCAACGGGUGAAACGGGCAAUCUCUACCUGGAGCAAUACCAAAUAGGCAGGCGUUGAUGUGUGUCCCGCGGAGCCUGCGGGUAGGUAGCUUGAGGCGCACGGUAACGGGCGUCCCAGAGGAAUGGCCGUCAUAGCACGCAAGUGCCGUAACAGAAUCCGGCUUAUCGGCGCGCUUCCACU